GCAGAAAAAGUAGUUCAAUACGCAGUAAUGCUAUGUAGUAAUUACUGCAUUUAUGAAUAUAGCACCAAAAUAUCACAAUGGAUUGAGAAUAUUGACUCCCAAGCUUAUUGCACAACAAGCAGGUUUCAGACCAGGGAAAAACUGUACAGGUCAAAUUCUUCAUCUGACUGAGCAUAUCGAGGAAGGCUACGAGAAAGGCUGCAUUACGGGAACAGUCUUUGUGGACCUUACGGCAGCCUAUGACACGGUGCAACAUAGAAAAAUGCUGCAUAAAGUCUACCAUAUCACCCGGGACUUUGACUUUACAAAAACUGUCCAAACCCUCUUAGAAAACUGCAGCUUCUAUGUGGAGUUUCAGGGCCAGAAAAGCAGAUGGAGGAGGCAAAAGAAUGGUUUACCCCAAGGCAGCGUUCUUGCACCGACCUUAUUUAACAUCUUCACGAACGAUCAGCCACAACCACCACUCACAAAGAGCUUUAUAUAUGCUGAUGACCUUGGUCUUACAACACAAGCGAAAGAUUUUGAAACAGUUGAAAAGCAACUCACUAAUGCCUUGAAAGAUCUCUCCAGCUACUACAAGGAGAACCACCUGAAGCCUAACCCUUCCAAGACACAAGUGUGUGCUUUCCACCUACGUAACCGUGAAGCCAACAGGAAACUGAAAGUUACUUGGGAAGGCCAAGAGCUCAAACACUGUUUCCAUCCUAAAUACCUUGGUGUCACCUUAGACCGAACACUAACAUAUAGGAAACACUGCAUGAACACCAAGCACAAAGUAACUGCACGCAAUAACAUCCUGCGGAAACUGACUGGCAGCGCAUGGGGUGCAGACCCACAAGUAGUAAGAACAUCAGCCCUGGCCUUGUCUUUCUCAACUGCUGAGUAUGCCUGUCCUGUCUGGCAAAGUCUGCCCAUGCAAAGCAGGUGGACAUAGCACUGAAUGAAACAUGCAGAAUCAUCACAGGAUGCCUUAAACCUACACCUGUUGAUAAACUCUACAAGUUAGCUGGCAUUGCCCCUCCUGACGUGCGACGGGACUGCUAACGGUGAGAGAAAAAAGGUUGG
rnacentral:lncRNA from 1 species